rfam:Streptomyces sp. CB02400 scaffold4, whole genome shotgun sequence.
GCGCGGCCUCCGCCGAGUCCGUCACUGCCCUCGCGGCAGCCGGAGCCGGGGACCCACCGAGACCAUGGGGUGAAUCGGCCCACUCCCUCACGGAGCGGCCGUAGGGCAACCCUUCCGAACCACCCGCCCGAACCCGACAGCUAACCCGGUAGGCGGAGCUUUGGAAGGAGUC